rnacentral:rRNA from 1 species
UACGUAGGGCGCAAGCGUUAUCCGGAAUUAUUGGCGUAAGAGCUCGUAGGCGGUUUGUCGCGUCUGCCGUGAAAGUCCGGGGCUCAACUCCGGAUCUGCGGUGGGUACGGGCAGACUAGAGUGAUGUAGGGGAGACUGGAAUUCCUGGUGUAGCGGUGAAAUGCGCAGAUAUCUGGAAGAACACCCGGUGGCUAAGGCGGCUACUCUAGUACGGUACUGACGCUGAGACGCGAAAGCGGUGGGGAGCGAAGAGGA